rnacentral:rRNA from 1 species
UACGGGGGGGGCAAGCGUUGUUCGGAAUUACUGGGCGCAAAGGGCUCGUAGGUGGCCAACUAAGUCGGACGUGAAAUCCCUCGGCUUAACCGGGGAACUGCGUCUGAUACUGGAUGGCUUGAGUUCGGGAGAGGGAUGCGGAAUUCCAGGUGUAGCGGUGAAAUGCGUAGAUAUCUGGAGGAACACCGGUGGCGAAGGCGGCAUCCUGGACCGACACUGACGCUGAGGAGCGAAAGCCAGGGGAGCAAACGGG